rnacentral:lncRNA from 1 species
UCCCCAGGAGCUGGGGAUUCAGUGAUGAGCCAGAUCAACCAAGCCCCUGUCCUCUUCAGCUUAUGUCCUGAGAUGGGGAAUAGAUGGUGAAUAGGUAAACAAGCGGGCAUGAAAUGGCACAUAGGGAUAAGGGCAAUAAUGAACGAGUGGUGUUGGGGGAGGGAAGAUGGAUGGGGAGGGGGCAGUGUAGUUUAGAAGUGUCAGGAGACUUCUCUGAGGAGGUACCAUUUGAAGAGGCAAAUGAUUAAAAGAAGAGAGUCCUAUCAGACAGAGGGAAUAGCAGGUACAAAGGGCCUGUGGCAGGAAGGAGCUGGAUACAUUCGAGAAACAAAGCCAGUGAGGAAGUGAGUGAGGAAGAGAACAGGGAGAUGAGGUCAGAGAACCCCAGAGGUGAGGUCUGCUUCCCUCUCCCCCUUCCUGCCUCUGAGUAAGGAGCACUUGCAGAGCUGCCCCCCAGGCCACCACAGGGGUGCUGCUCUGCCAUUGUUACUCCUGCCUUGUGACCUCAGCCCCACCCAGCCCGGCCCCAACCCCCACUUCCCCUUCCAGUUGUGACCCAAGAAGUCAGGAACCACAUCCUUUCCUAAACUGGGUCCCCCCUCCCUGCACCCCUUCUAGGGGGUGGGGCUCAGACUCCCAGCGUUGGACUCUCAGUCUCUGGCUGACUCCUUUGGGCUCCCCAUUUGCCUUCCCCCUCCACCACCCACCACUAGCCCCAGUAGUGUCAGACCCUAGCAGCCUCCUCUCCUUCCCCUUCACCAACCUCCCAGAAGCCAUGGGGUUUCCUCCCCUGCGAAUGCAUCAGCCGUUCCCUAAACUCAGAACACCCUUUCUUCCCUCCUCCCUCUGACCAAAUCUCAGCUGUUCCCUCCUCCUGGAAGUCCCUGCGUUAUGAGCAGCAGAUGGGUCUUGCUCAUCUCUAUCCCCCAGGGCCAGGCAGAGGCCUUUGCACCCAGAAGGAUCUCAGUGGAUGGGCGAAUGAAUGAAGAAUUAGUUGGAUCCAAUCAGCCCAUUGUCCACCGGCCUGUGUGGCAAACACCCUGCUGGGCCCAGAAGCUGGGGAUGACACAGCCACUCGCAUCCCUGUGCAAAGAGCUCUUUCCCCAAGUCCAGGAGUCUGAAGCAGGUCUGGGCUCUGCACUAAUUUGCUGUGUGACCUUGGGAAGCCACUGACCUGUGCUGAGCUUCUCAUUUGGCAAAACAGCAUCUGGAAGAGGCUAAAUGAUCUCAGAGCAUCAUGGUCACAAGUGUGGACUCGGGGCCAGAUGGCCUGGGCUCAAAUCCUGGUCCUGCCACCUUGCCAACUGUGUGACCUUGGGUGAGAUUUUUAACCUCUCUGAGCCUCCGAUCCCCCAUCUGUAAGUGCUGCAGAGCAUUAGGGCCCAUCUCACAAAACAGUUGUGAAGAUUCAUGUUUGCAAUGACUCCGUGGAAAGCCCAGCCUGGGGGACGUAACCGUAUGGCUAAUUAGAUCAUAAUUAGGUCUGAGGUCUGCGAUGUGCAUCUUAUGGGGACAUGACCGGUUCAUGUGAACACAUCUACUAUGCAUCAGAGCAGAAGGCCGGGAAUGUCCAGGUCUGAGGUUUGGAGGGUCCUUGAGGCACCAGCACAGGGCGGCUGUCACCCCCAGGCUGGGAGAGUGGUGUGCACUCCUCCAGGCUGCGUGCACACGGGGGCUCUUUCCGGUGUACACACUACCUGCCCUGAAGCAGCUCACCCUUCCCCCAAUGCUAGACCCUCUCAGGAGUCAAAUGCAACAGAGGAGGCCGAGGGAAACUGAGGACAAUCCCAUCACGGCCGACUGAGCUUCCGGAGACCAGCCAGUGAAUGUCCUUCCACCCCCCACUCUCCUGGGAAAUGAUGACAAGGAAUGAGGUCAGAGGUCACCCAUGGGACAUUCUGGGGACCCCAGGCUAUCAGGAGCUGCCUCUCAGACUACAGGGUCCCUGCUUCUAAGGCCUGGGUUCAAGAGAGAGUUCAAGGAAUUUUAGCGCUGAGUCCAGAGCCCAUGACAGAGGAAGCUGAGGCCAGGAGUGCUGAGUGACUCGCCCAAGGUCACACAGCUGUGGGGGGAAGGGCUGGGACCAGAUCUCAGGCCUCUAACCACCUGCCCCCCAAACCUCCGCAGUGCUUCUCCCCCGCUUGGUGAUACAUUUCUGGAAAUCACCCCAGUUCUACUUUCCAAAAUGAGUCAGGAACAUCUGUACCUCUGGGGGCUGCAAAGACUCCCUGGGGCUCCCUGGCAAGAAUGCUGACAACUUUCUGAGGGGUCUGAAAGCAGAACUGGCCUUCCCAGGAAUUGAGAAGAAAGGUAUCAUUUCUGUUCAUUUGGUGAGAAUUCCAGAAAGCCUUACAGGGCCCUGAUGUCCUGUUCUUGCCCCACUCAUGUGAUAUAGGGGACCAGGCCCUAUUUGACAGGGGAUGCCAUUGAGGUGCCAAAGGGUGGAGAGAUUUGCCCAGGGUCACACAGGCGGCCCUGGUUCUGACACUCAGGCUGCUAACUCCAAGCCCAGAAGCUUCCCUGACACCCAGGAGGCGAGUCUGACCUUCCUUGUCAGAGGCCUGGGCGGAUCUUAGACAGCAUCGACUCCCACCCCUGAGCUCUGAAUUCUUUCUCAUUUUUAAUGCCCUUACUAUAAAAGCAACAAUACAUGUUCACUUGCGAAAAUCUGAAAAAUGCAGAAAAGUCAAAAUAA